AUAUUUUACGCACCUAAAUAUAACUGACGUUUUUUAUCAAUUAGUUUCAAUGUUAUGAUCAGCUAAGUUGAUUUGUUUUAAAAACUUUAACAACGAUAUGAAACGAUCUCUUAACGUCUUAUAUAAUAUGAUUAAAUAAAUGACAAUAUUAAGUAUCUACAUUUAAAAUAUUUCAGGAGAUCAAUAAAUCAUGUAUGGCAAAUGAUGUAAAUUGAAAACUAAUUAUUAUUGGAGGUUAAGGAGAAGAAACUUAAUGAUAAGCUGGAAUUUUUUUAAUUUAAUCGGCGUCAUGGGAGCACGUGUAUCCAAUGCUGUUACUUUAAUUCAGUCUUAAAUGUCUGUGUACAAUACUUGUCGUCAAUCGAUUUCAUUUAGAUAACAGAAAGCUCUAUCUAUUGGACAACACAUCAUCUAAUAAAAAAAAAUAGUUUUCCUCAGUGAGGCGGUAUUAACCAUAUUUUAAUAGCACAUUUAAGCAAAAUAAAAGUUUAAUAAUUACCAAAAAAACAUUUACAAAUACAUUGAAUUUUUUUAAAAAAAAUUGAAAAUUCAUAAAUUUCUUUUUUCUGAAAUAACUGUACAAUUAUACAAAGUGAUUCUUAUUUAAGGUUACUUUAAACACUCGUAUUUUUAAAAUAAUUAUUAUAUUAAGAAAAUUAUUUUUGGUAUUUUUUAGCGUAGAUGAUGUGCGUGAUUGUGUCAAGUGGACGUUUAGGAUAAAGGUAGCCGACCUCAAGUAGUUGGGAUUAAGGCAAAAAAAAAAAGAAGAAAAAGAUUUUUAGUAUUUUUUAUUUUCAUAUACUUCUUAAUUUAUUAGUUA